GUGUGUGAGUGCUGGAUGAUGUUUGUGAGAGUGCUGGAUGAUGUGUGUGUGUGUGAGUGCUGGAUGAUGUGUGUGUGUGUGAGUGCUGGAUGAUGUGUGUGUGAGUGAGUGCUGGAUGAUGUGUGUUUGAGUGAGUGAUGGAUGAUGGGUGUGUGAGUGCUGGAUGAUGUGUGUGUGUGCUGAAUGAUGGGUGUGUGAGUGCUGGAUGAUGUGUGUGCUGGAUGAUGGGUGUGUGGGUGCUG